UGAAGGACUUUGCCGGAUUAGCUGAGAGGUGGUGCAUGGCCGUCGUCAGUUCGUACUGUGAAGCAUCCUGUUAAGUCAGGGCAACGAGCGAGACCCACGCCCACAGUUGCCAGCGUACUCUCUGGAGUGACGGGUACACUGUGGGGACCGCCGCUGCUAAAGCGGAGGAAGGAAUGGGCAACGGUAGGUCAGUAUGCCCCGAAUUAUCUGGGCUACACGCGGGCUACAAUGGGUGGGACAAUGGGUAUCGACACCGAAAGGUGAAGGCAAUCUCCUAAACCCAUCCGUAGUUCGGAUUGUGGGCUGCAACUCGCCCACAUGAAGCUGGAAUCUGUAGUAAUCGUGUCUCAAAAUGGCACGGUGAAUAUGUCCCUGCUCCUU
rnacentral:rRNA from 1 species